GACGAACGCUGGCGGCGUGCUUAACACAUGCAAGUCGAACGGAAAGGCCUCUUUCGGGGGGUACUCGAGUGGCGAACGGGUGAGUAACACGUGAGUAACCUGCCCUUGACUUUGGGAUAACUUCAGGAAACUGGGGCUAAUACAGGCUAGAAGCUCCUGCUGCAUGGUGGGGGUUGGAAAGUUUCGGCGGUUGGGGAUGGACUUGCGGCUUAUCAGCUUGUUGGUGGGGUAGUGGCUUACCAAGGCUUUGACGGGUAGCCGGCCUGAGAGGGUGACCGGCCACAGUGGGACUGAGACACGGCCCAGACUCCUACGGGAGGCAGCAGUGGGGAAUAGUGCACAAGGGGUGGAAGCCUGAUGCAGAAACGCCGUGGGCGGGAUGACGGCCUUCGGGUUGUAAACCGCUUUCGCUCAUGACGAAGCUUUGUGUGACGGUAGUGGGUAAAGAAGCACCGGCUAACUACGUG
rnacentral:rRNA from 1 species